UACGUAGGGGGCAAGCGUUGUCCGGAUUUACUGGGCGUAAAGAGCGUGUAGGCGGCCAAACAGGUCCGUUGUGAAAACUGGAGGCUCAACCUCCAGACGUCGACGGAAACCGUAUGGCUAGAGUCCGGAAGAGGAGAGUGGAAUUCCUGGUGUAGCGGUGAAAUGCGCAGAUAUCAGGAAGAACACCAAUGGCGAAAGCAGCUCUCUGGGACGGUACUGACGCUGAGACGCGAAAGCGUGGGGAGCGAACAGG
rnacentral:rRNA from 1 species